UUCUGCCUACAGAGCACCACAGGCCAGCCUGCUAUUGGGCGCGGCUGUUGAACAAAAUGGGAGUCUCUGCGCUCUAGGAGCACCGUGGCUGUGGACGUGUGGGGACCUUUUGAGAGGUCUCCUGGGUCAUUCUGUGAUGGCUUGUGAGAGACCCCUCACUAAGGAAUCUGGGCCGUUUCCUGCAUCUUUUUCUGACCACUCUGUAAAGAUUUUCAAAAGAAAAGGAAUCUGAGGCCCCCAGGGACUAUGUAAUUUGUCCAAGAUGUUACACACGGUCCCCAGUUUACAGAAAACACCGGCCUUCUCUCAUCUCCAGAAGUGAGAACUUUCCACCCCCCCUUUUGUUCUAUUUAACUUGUUCUCCUUCGUGUCUCAGCUAAGAUGUCACUCCCUCCAGGAACCCUGAGCUGGAUGAUCCCUGUGUUGGGAGCUGCUGGAGAGCAAGAACACGACUAUCCUGUGCCCUUGUGGAAACUGGAACACUGUCUUCCAAUCACAGCGUGUGGCCCAUCGAAGGAUAAUGUAUGCAUUUUGUUUCGAUGGAUGAACGAAUGAGUUGGAAGUUGAAGGAGUGGGAGGAGAGCUCUGUAUGAGAGACAGAGCUCAGUCAGAAGAGGGUGUGACUCAUGAAUUUGAGCCCCAUGUUUGAUGUAGAGAUUACUUAAAAAUAAAACAUUAAAAAAAAAAAAAGGAAUCAUCA